GCUCCUCUCUCAUUUCACAUUUCGCUUACAUUCGCUUACAAGUUUAGUGUCAUUCCGUGCAGUCGUCUGAUCUUGGAAUAUCACCAUUAUCAGAUAUGUACUUAUCGUAUGUCAUACUUGUUGUCACUUGGAUGUUGUGGUAUGCUGUGAAGAAGUUUCUGAAGGAGAAUGACGCUGCAGACGACUUUGAUGCAGAGGAAACUAUGUUAGAUCGGGAACUGUAUGACAAUGAGAUAAAUGAAAGUUUGGAAAGAUUUUGGGAAGAAUAAUCUGCAAGACAUGGAGGUUGCUGAGGAUCAAUCGCAAUCAUUUCAUAUUAUGUUUUGUUGUGUUGUAUUACUUUAGAAGUUUUUUCCUGUCACUAUGUUUAAAUAAUUCAAAGCCCAUGUAAUAUUAUUAAUUUUAUUUUUGUUCUUUAUAAUAAAUUAAUGUU